GAUGAACGCUGGCGGCGUGCUUAACACAUGCAAGUCGAACGAAGCACUCUACUUGAUCUCUUCGGAGUGAUUGUUUUGUGACUGAGUGGCGGACGGGUGAGUAACGCGUGGGUAACCUGCCUCAUACAGGGGGAUAACAGUUGGAAACGACUGCUAAUACCGCAUAAGCGCACAGGGUCGCAUGACCUGGUGUGAAAAACUCCGGUGGUAUGAGAUGGACCCGCGUCUGAUUAGCCAGUUGGUGGGGUAACGGCCUACCAAAGCGACGAUCAGUAGCCGACCUGAGAGGGUGACCGGCCACAUUGGGACUGAGACACGGCCCAAACUCCUACGGGAGGCAGCAGUGGGGAAUAUUGCACAAUGGGGGAAACCCUGAUGCAGCGACGCCGCGUGAGCGAAGAAGUAUUUCGGUAUGUAAAGCUCUAUCAGCAGGGAAGAAGAAAUGACGGUACCUGACUAAGAAGCACCGGCUAA
rnacentral:rRNA from 1 species